rnacentral:rRNA from 1 species
AUACGGAGGAUGCGAGCGUUAUCCGGAUUUAUUGGGUUUAAAGGGUGCGUAGGCGGCCUUGUAAGUCAGCGGUGAAAUUUUGCAGCUUAGCUGUAAAAGUGCCGUUGAUACUGUGAGGCUAGGAUUUGGUUGCUGUGGGUGGAAUUCAUGGUGUAGCGGUGAAAUGCUUAGAUAUCAUGAAGAACUCCGAUUGCGAAGGCAGUCCGCUGGGGCACGUCUGACGCUGAUGCUCGAAGGUGCGGGAAUCAAACAGGAUUAGAUACCCUGGUAGUCCGCACGGUAAACGAUGAUUACCCGCUGUCGGCGGCAGACAGUCGGCGGCCAAGCGAAAGCGAUAAGUAAUCCACCUGGGGAGUACGCCGGCAACGGUGAAACUCAAAUGAAUUGACGGGG